CAGGGAAUAGUUUAAAUAGAACAUUAGCUUUGGGUGCUG
rnacentral:tRNA from 1 species